rnacentral:rRNA from 1 species
GAUGAACGCUGGCGGCGUGCCUAAUACAUGCAAGUCGAGCGAACAGACGAGGAGCUUGCUCCUCUGACGUUAGCGGCGGACGGGUGAGUAACACGUGGAUAACCUACCUAUAAGACUGGGAUAACUUCGGGAAACCGGAGCUAAUACCGGAUAAUAUAUUGAACCGCAUGGUUCAAUAGUGAAAGACGGUCUUGCUGUCACUUAUAGAUGGAUCCGCGCGGCAUUAGCUAGUUGGUAAGGUAACGGCUUACCAAGGCAACGAUGCGUAGCCGACCUGAGAGGGUGAUCGGCCACACUGGAACUGAGACACGGUCCAGACUCCUACGGGAGGCAGCAGUAGGGAAUCUUCCGCAAUGGGCGAAAGCCUGACGGAGCAACGCCGCGUGAGUGAUGAAGGUCUUCGGAUCGUAAAACUCUGUUAUUAGGGAAGAACAAAUGUGUAAGUAACUAUGCACGUCUUGACGGUACCUAAUCAGAAAGCCACGGCUAACUACGUG